UACGGAGGAUGCGAGCGUUAUCCGGAUUUAUUGGGUUUAAAGGGUGCGUAGGCGGCUUUUUAAGUCAGUGGUGAAAUUUUGCAGCUUAACUGUAACAGUGCCGUUGAUACUGGGGAGCUAGGAUUUGGUUGCUGUGGGUGGAAUGUGUGGUGUAGCGGUGAAAUGCUUAGAGAUCACACAGAAUAUCGAUUGCGAAGGCAGCUCACAAAGCCAAGAUUGACGCUGAGGCACGAAAGCGUGGGGAUCAAACAGGAUUAGA
rnacentral:rRNA from 1 species